AUUUAUUUUUAGUCCCUAAUAAAUUAACAAAUUUUUUGUUUGCUCCAUGAUAAAUAUUUCCCAUUUGUUAUUAACACAGAUUAAAACAAAAUUUACUAAUUUAUUAGAAAACAAAUGCAAAAUUUUCUAAUUUAUUAGGGACUAAAACAAAAU
rnacentral:pre_miRNA from 1 species